UUAAGUUAGAAAGGGCGCACGGUGGAUGCCUUGACACUAGGAGUCGAUGAAGGACGGGACUAACGCCGAUAUGCUUCGGGGAGCUGUAAGUAAGCUUUGAUCCGAAGAUUUCCGAAUGGGGAAACCCACCAUACGUAAUGGUAUGGUAUCCUUAUCUGAAUACAUAGGGUAAGGAAGACAGACCCAGGGAACUGAAACAUCUAAGUACCUGGAGGAAGAGAAAGCAAAUGCGAUUUCCUGAGUAGCGGCGAGCGAAACGGAACAUAGCCCAAACCAAGAGGCUUGCCUCUUGGGGUUGUAGGACAUUCUAUACGGAGUUACAAAGGAACGAGGUAGACGAAGCGACCUGGAAAGGUCCGUCGUAGAGGGUAACAACCCCGUAGUCGAAACUUCGUUCUCUCUUGAAUGUAUCCUGAGUACGGCGGAACACGUGAAAUUCCGUCGGAAUCUGGGAGGACCAUCUCCCAAGGCUAAAUACUCCCUAGUGAUCGAUAGUGAACCAGUACCGUGAGGGAAAGGUGAAAAGCACCCCGGAAGGGGAGUGAAAGAGAUCCUGAAACCGUGUGCCUACAAAUAGUCAGAGCCCGUUAACGGGUGAUGGCGUGCCUUUUGUAGAAUGAACCGGCGAGUUACGAUCCCGUGCGAGGUUAAGCUGAAGAGGCGGAGCCGCAGCGAAAGCGAGUCUGAAUAGGGCGUUUAGUACGUGGUUGUAGACCCGAAACCAGGUGAUCUACCCAUGUCCAGGGUGAAGUUCAGGUAACACUGAAUGGAGGCCCGAACCCACGCACGUUGAAAAGUGCGGGGAUGAGGUGUGGGUAGCGGAGAAAUUCCAAUCGAACCUGGAGAUAGCUGGUUCUCCCCGAAAUAGCUUUAGGGCUAGCCUUAAGUGUAAGAGUCUUGGAGGUAGAGCACUGAUUGGACUAGGGGUCCUCAUCGGAUUACCGAAUUCAGUCAAACUCCGAAUGCCAAUGACUUAUCCUUAGGAGUCAGACUGCGAGUGAUAAGAUCCGUAGUCAAAAGGGAAACAGCCCAGACCGCCAGCUAAGGUCCCAAAGUGUGUAUUAAGUGGAAAAGGAUGUGGAGUUGCUUAGACAACUAGGAUGUUGGCUUAGAAGCAGCCACCAUUUAAAGAGUGCGUAAUAGCUCACUAGUCGAGUGACUCUGCGCCGAAAAUGUACCGGGGCUAAAUACACCACCGAAGCUGCGGAUUGAUACCAAUGGUAUCAGUGGUAGGGGAGCGUUCUAAGGACAGUGAAGUCAGACCGGAAGGACUGGUGGAGUGCUUAGAAGUGAGAAUGCCGGUAUGAGUAGCGAAAGACGGGUGAGAAUCCCGUCCACCGAAUGCCUAAGGUUUCCUGAGGAAGGCUCGUCCGCUCAGGGUUAGUCAGGACCUAAGCCGAGGCCGACAGGCGUAGGCGAUGGACAACAGGUUGAUAUUCCUGUACCACCUCUUUAUCGUUUGAGCAAUGGAGGGACGCAGAAGGAUAGAAGAAGCGUGCGAUUGGUUGUGCACGUCCAAGCAGUUAGGCUGAUAAGUAGGCAAAUCCGCUUAUCGUAAAGGCUGAGCUGUGAUGGGGAAGCUCCUUAUGGAGCGAAGUCUUUGAUUCCCCGCUGCCAAGAAAAGCUUCUAGCGAGAUAAAAGGUGCCUGUACCGCAAACCGACACAGGUAGGCGAGGAGAGAAUCCUAAGGUGUGCGAGAGAACUCUGGUUAAGGAACUCGGCAAAAUGACCCCGUAACUUCGGGAGAAGGGGUGCUUUCUUAACGGAAAGCCGCAGUGAAUAGGCCCAAGCGACUGUUUAGCAAAAACACAGCUCUCUGCGAAGCCGUAAGGCGAAGUAUAGGGGGUGACACCUGCCCGGUGCUGGAAGGUUAAGGAGAGGGGUUAGCGUAAGCGAAGCUCUGAACUGAAGCCCCAGUAAACGGCGGCCGUAACUAUAACGGUCCUAAGGUAGCGAAAUUCCUUGUCGGGUAAGUUCCGACCCGCACGAAAGGUGUAACGAUUUGGGCACUGUCUCAACCAGAGACUCGGUGAAAUUAUAGUACCUGUGAAGAUGCAGGUUACCCGCGACAGGACGGAAAGACCCCGUGGAGCUUUACUGUAGCCUGAUAUUGAAUUUUGGUACAGUUUGUACAGGAUAGGCGGGAGCCAUUGAAACCGGAGCGCUAGCUUCGGUGGAGGCGCUGGUGGGAUACCGCCCUGACUGUAUUGAAAUUCUAACCUACGGGUCUUAUCGACCCGGGAGACAGUGUCAGGUGGGCAGUUUGACUGGGGCGGUCGCCUCCUAAAGUGUAACGGAGGCGCCCAAAGGUUCCCUCAGAAUGGUUGGAAAUCAUUCGUAGAGUGCAAAGGCAUAAGGGAGCUUGACUGCGAGACCUACAAGUCGAGCAGGGACGAAAGUCGGGCUUAGUGAUCCGGUGGUUCCGCAUGGAAGGGCCAUCGCUCAACGGAUAAAAGCUACCCCGGGGAUAACAGGCUUAUCUCCCCCAAGAGUCCACAUCGACGGGGAGGUUUGGCACCUCGAUGUCGGCUCAUCGCAUCCUGGGGCUGUAGUCGGUCCCAAGGGUUGGGCUGUUCGCCCAUUAAAGCGGUACGCGAGCUGGGUUCAGAACGUCGUGAGACAGUUCGGUCCCUAUCCGUCGUGGGCGUAGGAAAUUUGAGAGGAGCUGUCCUUAGUACGAGAGGACCGGGAUGGACGCACCGCUGGUGUACCAGUUGUUCUGCCAAGGGCAUAGCUGGGUAGCUAUGUGCGGAAGGGAUAAGUGCUGAAAGCAUCUAAGCAUGAAGCCCCCCUCAAGAUGAGAUUUCCCAUAGCGUAAGCUAGUAAGAUCCCUGAAAGAUGAUCAGGUUGAUAGGUUCGAGGUGGAAGCAUGGUGACAUGUGGAGCUGACGAAUACUAAUAGAUCGAGGACUUAACCA
rnacentral:rRNA from 1 species